rnacentral:misc_RNA from 1 species
GAAAGCCAACCCCGUUGUCAAAGCAGAGAAGCUUGAUAAGAUUAUAUAUGAUGGGUUAAAGUUUCAUGUACUGAAAUUUGAUGAUCAUUUCGUCUUUGAGGCUUCCGAGAUGGCCGACUAUCCUAUUAGGUGUCCUUUUUUAUUGUUGUGUAUGUGGAAAAGCAAAGCAGCGUAGGACAUCUCUGCAAUACAAGAACUCUAUAUCUUGUGAUUGGCGAGAGUUUAUAGGUUGGCUCCAGUGUUUUUAAGUCAAAAUCUGUGAUGGUUUAAUGAACUUUGUUGUGUUUGGGUUUGUAAUUUGUCAUCCUGUUUCAUAUGGCAUUUCUCU